rnacentral:rRNA from 1 species
GACGAACGCUGGCGGCGCGCUUAACACAUGCAAGUCGAACGGAAAGGCCUGCUUUCCCUUGUGGAUUGCGGGUACUCGAGUGGCGAACGGGUGAGUAACACGUGAGUGAUCUGCCCCCAACUUGGGUAUAAGCCUGGGAAACUGUGUCUAAUUCCCGAUAGGACUGCAGGGUGGUGCCUGUGUUGGAAAACGAUUUUCUAGUGGUUGGGGAUGAGCUCGCGGCCUAUCAGCUUGUUGGUGGGGUAAUGGCCUACCAAGGCGGCGACGGGUAGCCGGCCUGAGAGGGUGGACGGCCACAUUGGGACUGAGAUACGGCCCAGACUCCUACGGGAGGCAGCAGUGGGGAAUAUUGCACAAUGGGCGGAAGCCUGAUGCAGCGACGCCGCGUGGGGGAUGACGGCCUUCGGGUUGUAAACUCCUUUCGACCGCGAGGAAGCCACCUGGUUGGAAGGGUGGUGACGGUAGUGGUAGAAGAAGCACCGGCUAACUACGUG